GACGAACGCUGGCGGCGUGCCUAAUACAUGCAAGUAGAACGCUGAAGAGAGGAGCUUGCUCUUCUUGGAUGAGUUGCGAACGGGUGAGUAACGCGUAGGUAACCUGCCUGGUAGCGGGGGAUAACUAUUGGAAACGAUAGCUAAUACCGCAUGAUAUUAAUUGUCGCAUGAUAAUUAAUUGAAAGAUGCAAUUGCAUCACUACCAGAUGGACCUGCGUUGUAUUAGCUAGUUGGUGAGGUAACGGCUCCCAAGGCGACGAUACAUAGCCGACCUGAGAGGGUGAUCGGCCACACUGGGACUGAGACACGGCCCAGCUCUCCUACGGGAGGCAGCAGUAGGGAAUCUUCGGCAAUGGGGGGAACCCUGACCGAGCAACGCCGCGUGAGUGAAGAAGGUUUUCGGAUCGUAAAGCUCUGUUGUAAGAGAAGAACGGGUGUGAG
rnacentral:rRNA from 1 species